rfam:Oryza rufipogon genomic scaffold, chr12
GCGCUCUUAGUUCAGUUCGGUAGAACGCGGGUCUCCAAAACCCGAUGUCGUAGGUUCAAAUCCUACGGAGCGUG